rnacentral:rRNA from 1 species
UACGGAGGGCGCAAGCGUUGUUCGGAAUCACUGGGCGUAAAGCGCGUGCAGGCGGCUUGGUAAGUCGGGUGUGAAAUCCCGGAGCUCAACUCCGGAACUGCACCCGGUACUGCCUCGCUAGAGUCCCGGAGAGGAUGGCGGAAUUUCCGGUGUAGAGGUGAAAUUCGUAGAUAUCGGAAGGAACACCAGCGGCGAAGGCGGCCAUCUGGACGGUGACUGACGCUCAGACGCGAAAGCGCGGGGAGCAAACAGG